rnacentral:lncRNA from 10 species
CGGCGGACUUGCAUAAACACUUUCUAGUUGGAAUCUCACCCUGUGAGGUGGGCAAGGUAGUGAUAUUCCUGUUUGACGCCGACAGAAAUAAGAGAGAUUGACUCUCAGAACCAUGUGGCGGGAUUUUAAAGGAGGAUCUUAACAGUGGCUCGGACAGACCCGUGUUUUCUGCUCCUAGCAUUAACUACGUCGUUAAACCCUUCUGAAUUUAUUUCGUCUGUGAAAUGGGGAAAAGAUAGCCACCUUGCAUAACUGGUGAAGAAUUCGUAAACUGACAGCAGAAUCUAGUAAGAGGACUGGCCCGUGGUCGGCUCUUAAUGGUGUCACAGAAUAAAGAAAAAGACUGGGAGAGAGAUGGGAGCUGAUAGACCAGAGGAGACCAAAGACUGAAACUGAAGACUAAACCAUGGAAAUUGGGAACAAGCACUUACUCGCUUAGAGGGUGAAAAAAGUGAAUUUGCCUACAGGGCCAAUUUGGAAGCACCUCUCCCUGGAAGCCAGUCAAUGAAGAGCCAUUGGAGGAUUUUAAAUAAGGAACCGAAAAAUGGAGUCUGAAAAUAGAGGCGCAGAGACCGGUCAACCACAAUGAAGAACAAGCCAUUUUGACCUCCAUCCUGGCUCAUCUCCUCUGUGUUCUCAUAGCAUCAUAUUAUAGAAUGGAUCACAAACGCCUUUGCAGUUGCCUAUUUAUUUGUCCAUUUCUCCCUCCAGACUGUGAGUUCCCAGAGGGCAUGUCUUAUCUAUGUUAGUAGCCAC